GACGAACGCUGGCGGCGUGCCUAAUACAUGCAAGUAGGACGCAGUUGCGAACGGGUGAGUAACGCGUAGGUAACUUCCUAUUAGAGGGGGAUAACUAUUGGAAACGAUAGCUAAUACCGCAUACUAGUAGAUGGACCUGCGUUGUAUUAGCUAGUAGGUAGGGUAAUGGCCUACCUGGGCGACGAUACAUAGCCGACCUGAGGGGGUGAUCGGCCACACGGGGACUGUGACACGGCCCAGACGCCUACGGGAGGCAGCAGUAGAGAAGCGUCGGCAAUGGGGGGAACCGUGACCGAGCAACGCCGCGUGAGUGAAGAAGGUUUUCGGGUCGUAAGGUUCUGUUGUUAAGGAAGCGGUACUUAACCAGAAAGGGACGGCUAACUACGUGCCAGCAGCCGCGGUAAUUC
rnacentral:rRNA from 1 species